GAUGAACGCUGGCGGCGUGCUUAACACAUGCAAGUCGAACGGAAAGGCCAGUGCUUGCACUGGUACUCGAGUGGCGAACGGGUGAGUAACACGUGGGUGAUCUGCCCUGCACUUCGGGAUAAGCCUGGGAAACUGGGUCUAAUACCGGAUAGGACAAUGGUUUGGAUGCCGUUGUGGAAAGUUUUUUCGGUGUGGGAUGAGCUCGCGGCCUAUCAGCUUGUUGGUGGGGUAAUGGCCUACCAAGGCGUCGACGGGUAGCCGGCCUGAGAGGGUGUACGGCCACAUUGGGACUGAGAUACGGCCCAGACUCCUACGGGAGGCAGCAAGGGGGAAUAUUGCACAAUGGGCGCAAGCCUGAGGCAGCGACGCCGCGUGGGGGAUGACGGCCUUCGGGUUGUAAACUCCUUUCGCUAGGGACGAAGCGUAUUUGUGACGGUACCUGGAGAAGAAGCACCGGCUAACUACGUG
rnacentral:rRNA from 1 species